UACAGAGGAUGCAAGCGUUAUCCGGAAUGAUUGGGCGUAAAGCGUCUGUAGGUGGCUUUUUUAAGUCCGCCGUCAAAUCCCAGGGCUCAACUCUGGACAGGCGGUGGAAACUACCAAGCUGGAGUACGGUAGGGGCAGAGGGAAUUUCCGGUGGAGCGGUGAAAUGCGCAGAUAUCGGGAGGAACACCAAUGGCGAAGGCAGCUCGCUGGGACGGUACUGACGCUGAGACGCGAAAGCGUGGGGAGCAAACAGG
rnacentral:rRNA from 1 species